AAGUCGUAACAAGGUUUCCGUAGGUGAACCUGCGGAAGGAUCAUUACCAAAAAAUCCAAUACCAACCCCUUUGUGAAUUCUUUGAACGUAUUUCGGGAGAAGUGUUUCUUUUCUUUUUCUUUUUUCUUUUCCCCCUUUUUUUGGGGGGGGAAAAAAAAAAUUAAUUUAAUUUUAACCUCCUUCUCCCAAUUUUAUUAAACUUUAAACACCUUCAUGUGAGGGAUUUAAUUCCUCAUCAUGGGUUUAAUUUUUUAAUUUUUUUUAAUAAUAACAAAAAAUUUAAAAGUAUAACAACUUUUAACGGUGGAUCUCUUGGCUCGU
rnacentral:misc_RNA from 1 species